UAAGCAUACAUGAUGGAUUUACUUUCAGAUAUGAAUAAGAAUGAAAUUGAAACUGAGGACUUUCCCGGUUUGUUCUACUCUGUACUGCCGUUAAAAACAACAACAUCAGCAACAACAACAUGUAUAUAAUUGAGGGCAGGAAACCAGAUAGAUGACUCAAUUUAAGUCCUCCCCAUCCCUCAGUGGAAGAAUGAGUCAACUCUAUUUUUCAAGGAUAAGAAAGCAGGCACAUGGAUUGAGAAGCUGCCAAAAGAGACCAAAAAUUGAGUGCACAGCAACGUUCUCCAGGGUUAGUACUGAAUCCUGUCCUGUGUAACAGUUAAUGAUACCAGGAAAAGGGUGGGGGAAGAUUGGCG
rnacentral:lncRNA from 1 species